rnacentral:lncRNA from 1 species
CCGCCUCCUAUCUUCCUCUCUCUCCCCCCCCCCACCUCCUUAUCCGCUCUCUCUCUCCCCCCCUCCCCCCGUCGGCGCCCUGCUCCCAACUUUAUCCGCCUCUGUCCGCCGCCUCCCUCUCCUGUCCCUAUCUCUUCCCUACCCUCCCGCCGCCCCCUUCCCCUCCCUCUCCCACCCCCUCCCCCUACCUCUCUCGCUACUACUGCCCCUCCCCUUCGCCUCUCACUAGUAGUGAAGACUGGUGGCGGGGUGAGGUGUGGGGCGCGCGGAGGUGCUCGGCGACGCGCGGGGUGCAGCGGUGCGCAGGGGAGCGGCGGCCAGCCGGAGGCGGUGGGGCGUAGGGGUGCGGCGGCGGGGCAUAGUUUUUUUUUUGCACAGGUGGUGGUGGCAGGGCAGCGGGAUGCGGGACCGGGUGGCGUGGUGGUGGCGGCGGCGGGGAAGCGAGAUGCGGGGCCCGGCGGUGUGGUGGCGGCGGGGCUGGGCUCGGGCUGGCAGGGCUCGGGCUCGGACGGGGUGAUUUCUUUUUCUUAUUUUUUAAUACCCUUAGUACCGGUUAGUUCACCAGAUCCUAAAAGGCCCUUUAGUACCGAAGUAGCAAUACCGGUUGCACAACUGGUACUUUGGGGUUAGGAACCGGUACUGAAGGCGCUUUCCCUGGUAGUGGAUGUAGAGUUCUUAGCUAGGGGCACGUGAUAGUUCGAGACUAGUUGAGCUGUUCAAGUACUUUUGUACUUUCAUUUUGGUAUGUCAUGUCUUCCUAAAGUUUAAGUUGUCCUCGAUUAUAAACAUAUGUUAUACAAUAUUUAUUGGAAUAAUUAGUAUUUUAUGUUCAAUUUAAUGUAUAGAUUAAGUCAUAAGUUAAAGAGGAAAUAAGCUAGAUUAUUUAUCAUAUCACGUCGCUAUGUAUAUAAAGAAUUGCUCCUCUUUUAGGCCUGUUCGCUUCAGGUUAUUCAGCCGGCUUAUCAGCCACCAAACAAUGUUUUCCUCUCACAACAAAUCAGCUAUUUCAGUUUUUCAGCCGGCUUAAGCUGAAGCGAACAAGCCCUUAAUUUCUAACACAAAUCUUAAAGCAACCCACCAAUUAAUUAAAUAUUUUCACCUUGGUUAUGAAUGGACCCAGCCCUACCAAUGUCAAUCCAGCCCAUACCCAU